rnacentral:rRNA from 1 species
AUUGGACGCUGGCGGCAUGCCUUACACAUGCAAGUCGAACGGCAGCACGGGGCAACCUGGUGGCGAGUGGCGAACGGGUGAGUAAUGCAUCGGAACGUACCUUUCAGUGGGGGAUAACGUAGCGAAAGUUACGCUAAUACCGCAUAUUCUGUGAGCAGGAAAGCAGGGGAUCGCAAGACCUUGCGCUGAUUGAGCGGCCGAUGUCAGAUUAGCUAGUUGGUGAGGUAAAGGCUCACCAAGGCGACGAGCUGUAGCGGGUCUGAGAGGAUGAUCCGCCACACUGGAACUGAGACACGGUCCAGACUCCUACGGGAGGCAGCAGUGGGGAAUUUUGGACAAUGGGGGCAACCCUGAUCCAGCCAUGCCGCGUGAGUGAAGAAGGCCUUCGGGUUGUAAAGCUCUUUCGGCCGGGAAGAAAUCGCACGGGCUAAUACCCUGUGUGGAUGACGGUACCGGAAUAAGAAGCACCGGCUAACUACGUGCCAGCCGCCGCCGUAAUAC